GAGAAGGGCAUAAUGGUUAUGCUGUUGGCUUGAAACCAACUGAAGGGAGUUCAGUUCCUCCCUUUCUUA
rnacentral:tRNA from 1 species